rnacentral:rRNA from 1 species
GAUCACCUACGGGACGCAGCAGUGAGGAAUAUUGGUCAAUGGGCGGGAGCCUGAACCAGCCAAGCCGCGUGAAGGAAGAAGGCGCCAAGCGUCGUAAACUUCUUUUGUCGGGGAACAAAGGGCGCCACGUGUGGCGUUGUGAGUGUACCCGAAGAAAAAGCAUCGGCUAACUCCGUGCCAGCAGCCGCGGUAAUACGGAGGAUGCGAGCGUUAUCCGGAAUGAUUGGGCGUAAAGGGUGCGUAGGCGGCCUGCUAAGUCUGGAGUGAAAGGUACCGGCUCAACCGGUACAGGCUCUGGAAACUGG